GACGAACGCUGGCGGCGUGCUUAACACAUGCAAGUCGAACGUGAUUUUUGUGGAAAUUCUUUCGGGAAUGGAAAUGAAAUGAAAGUGGCGAACGGGUGAGUAACACGUGAGCAACCUACCUUACACAGGGGGAUAGCCGUUGGAAACGACGAUUAAUACCGCAUGAGACCACAGAAUCGCAUGAUAUAGGGGUCAAAGAUUUAUCGGUGUAAGAAGGGCUCGCGUCUGAUUAGCUAGUUGGAAGGGUAAAGGCCUACCAAGGCGACGAUCAGUAGCCGGUCUGAGAGGAUGAACGGCCACAUUGGAACUGAGACACGGUCCAAACUCCUACGGGAGGCAGCAGUGGGGAAUAGUGCACAAUGGGGGGAACCCUGAUGCAGCGACGCCGCGUGAGCGAAGAAGGUUUUCGAAUCGUAAAGCUCUGUCCUAUGAGAAGAUAAUGACGGUAGCAAAGGAGGAAGCCCCGGCUAAAUACGUG
rnacentral:rRNA from 1 species